rnacentral:rRNA from 1 species
UUGUUUCAAGGACUAAGCCAUGCAAGUCUCAGAGUAAAUGGAUCACAUUGGGUCUGCAGACGGCUCAUUAAAUCAGCCAUAAUCUACGCGGGGAAAAUGCCUUACGGCAUUCAGUUGGAUAACAAUGGUAACUCCAUUGCUAAUACAUGUCCGAAAAGUCCAACACAGUUACUUCUUUUGGUUAAUCCCUUUGGAAUGUGGUGGAUGCAGUUGACCGAAACAGGAACCAACGCCUUUAUCGGCAGCGGUGAGUGGAUGAAACAGGUCAACCGAGCGAUAGCGCACGUCUUUAAGACGGUGCAAGCCCGCAAGAGUAUCUGCCCUAUCAGCUUUUGACGGUAGUGUAGUGGACUACCGUGGCUGUAACGGGUAACGGGGAAUUAGGGUUCGAUUCCGGAGAGGGAGCCUGAGAAACGGCUACCACAUCUAAGGAUGGCAGCAGGCGCGCAAAUUGCCCAAUAGCAACAAACUUAGCUGAGGCAGCGAGGAGGAAUAGUAACUUCAAGUGCUUACGCAUUCUGAAGAUUGCAAUGGAUGAUAUCUAAACCUGUCAGUGAGUAUCAAUUGGUGGACAAGUCUGGUGCCAGCACCCGCGGUAAUUCCAGCACCAAUAGCGUAUAUUAAUGCUGCUGCUGUUAAAAAGCUCGUAGUUGGAUCCAGAGUACAGGUUACAUCGGGCUUCUUCAGGGACGUCUCCCGUACUGGGAGUCGUUUUCUGUUGAAGAUCAAAACCCGUUGUAUCAAGACUUGUACUCUAUUAAUGGUGGUAAUGGAGCCCUGCUAUUAGGCUCCUUCAUUGGGGCUGAACGCGAUUACGUGUCAACCAUACGCAUACGGGUCGACCACCGAAGUUACUGUGAACAAACCAGCGUGUCCAAAGCAGGCGUUCGCCCUGAAUGAUAAAGCAUGGAAUAACAAGGGAUCGAUUCUCUCGGUCAUUUUUGUUGGUUCUUAACCCGAGAAGGAAUAAUUUAAGGUAAGGCUCCAAACCUGACACUCGUGCCAGCGAGGACCUUGCCCCAGCGGGAUCAAUAGGGACUGCCGGGGUCGUACGUACUCCCACGUCAGAGGUGAAAUUCUUAGAUCGUGGGAAGACGAACUUCUGCGAAAGCAUUCGACAAGAAUGUCUUCAUUAAUCAAGAACGAGAGUGUGGGGAUCGAAGAUGAUCAGAUACCGUCGUAGUCCACUACUGUAAACGAUGCCGUCUCAGGAUCGAGAGAUGCACUUUUGGCUCUCACGGCACUAACCCCUGAAACGAGAAAUCAAAGAUUAUGGGUUCAGGGGGGAGUACAUUCGCAAGGCUGAAACUUAAAGGAAUUGACGGAAUGACACCACCAGGCGUGGAGUAUGCGGCUUAAUUUGACUCAACACGGGGAAUUUUACUAGGUCAGGACAAUGAAAGGAUUGACAGAUUGAGAGCUCUUUCUCGAUCCAUUGUGUGGUGGUGCAUGGCCGCUCCUGGUUGGUGGAGUGAUUUGUCUGGUUGAUUCCGUUAACGAACGAGAUCUCGACCCUUCAGUAGGGGCGCUCGUCGCUUAGGUCUAAGGCGUUCUACGUCCUUUCUCCAAGACAGUGCCGCCCUUCUUAAGGGGACUGUGUGCGCUUUUAGCACGCGUAAGAGCGAGCCAAUAGCAGGUCUGUGAUGCUCCUAAAUGUCCUAGGCUGCACGGCGCAACUACACUGACGCAUUAAACGAGUCUGAUUGCAUCCGCCAACCUAUCUUAAAGAAGAUGGGAAACCUUUUUAACUUGCGUCGUGAUGAGGAUCGAUGAUUGCAAUUAUUCUCCUUGAAUGAGGAAUGCCUAGUAGGCGCAAGUCAUCAGCUUGCACUGAUUACGUCCCUGCCAUUUGUACACACCGCCCGUCGUUGCUACCGAUUGGCUGUGGGAUAGAGCUGGGGGGAGAGAGCUUUCUGUGGGCAACCGCUUUGAGCAUUUCGAAUCCCAGCAAUAUUUCUCAUUAGAGGAAGCAAAA